GAUGAAGAACGCAGCGAAAUGCGAUAACUAAUGUGAAUUGCAGAAUUCAGUGAAUCAUCGAGUCUUUGAACGCACAUUGCGCCCCCUGGUAUUCCGGGGGGCAUGCCUGUCCGAGCGUCAUUGCUGCCCUCAAGCACGGCUUGUGUGUUGGGCUCCGUCCCCCCGGGGACGGGCCCGAAAGGCAGCGGCGGCACCGAGUCCGGUCCUCGAGCGUAUGGGGCUUUGUCACCCGCUCUGUAGGCCCGGCCGGCGCCAGCCGACAACCCAUCAUCCAUUUCAGGUUGACCUCGGAUCAGGUAGGGAUACCCGCUGAACUUAAGCAUAUCAAUAAGCGGAGGA
rnacentral:misc_RNA from 1 species